AGCGAACGCUGGCGGCAGGCUUAACACAUGCAAGUCGAGCGGGCACUUUCGGGUGUCAGCGGCGGACGGGUGAGUAACGCGUGGGAACGUGCCCUCUGGUUCGGAAUAACUCAGGGAAACUUGAGCUAAUACCGGAUACGCCCUUUUGGGGAAAGGCUUGCUGCCGGAGGAUCGGCCCGCGUCUGAUUAGCUAGUUGGUGAGGUAACGGCUCACCAAGGCGACGAUCAGUAGCUGGUCUGAGAGGAUGAUCAGCCACACUGGGACUGAGACACGGCCCAGACUCCUACGGGAGGCAGCAGUGGGGAAUAUUGGACAAUGGGCGCAAGCCUGACCCAGCCAUGCCGCGUGAGUGAUGAAGGCCUUAGGGUUGUAAAGCUCUUUUAUCCGGGACGAUAAUGACGGUACCGGAGGAAUAAGCCCCGGCUAACUUCGUG
rnacentral:rRNA from 1 species